GCGUCAUGGCGUGCAGGAGGAAGGAAGGCUCAAGGUUCCCUAUCAUUUUGUGGCCUCACGGUAGCUCCUGGAGGCGUUUUGGUCUAGUCUCCCGGCAUUGUAUCCAUUGAAGUGAUGGAGAGCGCCUUCCUCCUCCUCUCAACAGGUUCUUCAACACCUCUUCCUUGGUGCCAGGAUCAAGGAAGUCAACUGACCCUCUCCAGGGUGGUUUGUGUGACGCUGUAGUCCUCGAUGGGAAGGUGCUGGCGGCUACGCUCCAGAGUACCAAACACUGCGGCCCAGGUCAGGCUCUCUGCUGGGACAAAGUACUCCAGCCGCCCCC